AGAGUUUGAUCCUGGCUCAGGACGAACGCUGGCGGCGCGCUUAACACAUGCAAGUCGAGCGAGAACCAGUCCUUCGGGGCUGGGGACAGCGGCGAACGGGUGAGUAACACGUGAGUAAUCCACCCUCGGUACCGGAAUAGCCCGGGGAAACCCGGAUUAAUGCCGGAUGGCCCAUCUGUUCUUCGGAAUUUGAUGGAAAAGGUAGCUUCGGCCUCCGACCGGGGACGAGCUCGCGGCGGAUUAGCUUGUUGGCGGGGUAAAGGCCCACCAAGGCGACGAUCCGUAGCUGGUCUGAGAGGACGAUCAGCCACACUGGGACUGAGACACGGCCCAGACUCCUACGGGAGGCAGCAGUGGGGAAUCUUGCGCAAUGGGCGAAAGCCUGACGCAGCGACGCCGCGUGAGGGAAGAAGGCCUUCGGGUUGUAAACCUCUUUCAGGAGGGACGAAGCCACUCGGGUGAAUAGCCCAGAGGGUGACGGUACCUCCAGAAGAAGCCCCGGCUAACUACGUGCCAGCAGCCGCGGUAAU
rnacentral:rRNA from 1 species